GACGAACGCUGGCGGCGUGCUUAACACAUGCAAGUCGAGCGGUAAGGCCCUUUCGGGGGUACACGAGCGGCGAACGGGUGAGUAACACGUGGGUGACCUGCCCUCAGCUCUGGGAUAAGCCCGGGAAACUGGGUCUAAUACUGGAUAUGACUCCACGGUGCAUGCCGUGGGGUGGAAAGCCUUGUGCGGCUGAGGAUGGGCCCGCGGCCUAUCAGCUUGUUGGUGGGGUGAUGGCCUACCAAGGCGACGACGGGUAGCCGGCCUGAGAGGGCGACCGGCCACACUGGGACUGAGACACGGCCCAGACUCCUACGGGAGGCAGCAGUGGGGAAUAUUGGACAAUGGGCGAAAGCCUGAUCCAACAAUGCCGCGUGUGUGAAGAAGGCCUGCGGGUUGUAAAGCAC
rnacentral:rRNA from 1 species